GAAGCAGAAGAUAUUGUCAGUGAUCUCAGAGUAGAUCUUAGAGAAGUUCAGGCUGAACUUGAGAGGGUGACCAGCCCCAAAGAGAAGGAAGUACAGAACUUAGGGAAAGAUGACACUGCUACUCCUGUAGAUCUAGCUGAGGAAAACAGAGUUGUGUUGCCUCCAGAAUCACAGGAGGAGUUUGUGACAAUUCGUAGAUCUACCUGAGGAAAACAGAGUUGUGUUGCCUCCAGAAUCACAGGAGGAGUUUGUGACAAUUUCUAACACCAAGGUUCCAAAUAUGAAGCAGAACAAUCAGGGAAAUCAGUCAUGUAGCAAAAU
rnacentral:lncRNA from 1 species